rnacentral:rRNA from 1 species
UGCUGAAUGGUAGGGCCAUCGCUCAACGGAUAAAAGGUACUCCGGGGAUAACUCGCUGAUACCGCCCAUGAGUUCAUAUCGACGGCGGUGUUUGGCACCUCGAUGUCGGCGCAUCACUUCCUGGGGCUGAAGUAGGUCCCAAGGGUAUGGCUGGUAGCCAUUUAAAGUGGUACGCGUGCUGGGUUUAGACCGUCGUGUGACAGUUCGGUCCCUAUCUGCCGUGGGCGCUGGAGAACUGAGGGGGUC